rnacentral:rRNA from 1 species
AGAGUUUGAUCAUGGCUCAGAGCGAACGCUAGCGGCGGGCCUAACACAUGCAAGUCGAGCGCAUACCUUCGGGUAUGAGCGGCGGACGGGUGAGUAACGCGUAGGUCAUCUACCCUUUGGUGGGGGAUAACCCAGGGAAACUUGGGCUAAUACCGCACGAGGUCUACGGAUCAAAGCCUUCGGGCGCCAGAGGAUGAGCCUGCGUCGCAUUACCUAGUUGGCGGGGUAACGGCCCACCAAGGGGACGAUGCGUAGCUGGUCUGAGAGGAUGAUCAGCCACACUGGGACUGAGACACGGCCCAGACUCCUACGGGAGGCAGCAGUGGGGAAUUUUGGACAAUGGGGGCAACCCUGAUCCAGCCACGCCGCGUGAGUGAUGAAGGCCUUCGGGUCGUAAAGCUCUGUGGGGAGGGACGAACGGCGCCAUGAAGAGUGGCGAUUGACGGUACCUCCUUAGCAAGCACCGGCUAACUUCGUG